GAAACUAACAAGGAUUCCCCUAGUAGCGGCGAGCGAAGCGGGAAGAGCUCAAAUUUAUAAUCUGGCACCUUCGGUGUCCGAGUUGUAAUCUCUAGAAAUGUUUUCCGCGUUGGACCGCACACAAGUCUGUUGGAAUACAGCGGCAUAGUGGUGAGACCCCCGUAUAUGGUGCGGACGCCCAGCGCUUUGUGAUACAUUUUCGAAGAGUCGAGUUGUUUGGGAAUGCAGCUCAAAUUGGGUGGUAAAUUCCAUCUAAAGCUAAAUAUUGGCGAGAGACCGAUAGCGAACAAGUACCGUGAGGGAAAGAUGAAAAGCACUUUGGAAAGAGAGUUAACAGUACGUGAAAUUGUUGGAAGGGAAACGCUUGAAGUCAGACUUGCUUGCCGAGCAAUCGGUUUGCAGGCCAGCAUCAGUUUUCCGGGAUGGAUAAUGGUAGAGAGAAGGUAGCAGUUUCGGCUGUGUUAUAGCUCUCUGCUGGAUACAUCUUGGGGGACUGAGGAACGCAGUGUGCCUUUGGCGGGGGUUUCGACC
rnacentral:rRNA from 1 species